AAGCUAGAAGGUAUAUAUUUGGUCCUCCAAUUGCACUAACUUUUGGUGCCAAAUUUGUUCCGCUUCGCAACCUGUGAAAAUUGCCAGGGUAAUUGGAAGCUCAAUGGGGUACCACUUUAUGUUCUUGUGGAGCCUCGCCUAGAUGAUCUGGAUCAUACGUUAUGAGAUGAUGCAGAACAUGACGGUAGAGCAACACUUGGAUGGCGAAGGGGAAAUUCGUCUUUUUAAGCUCCUGCGCGAUUGCACUAGCGCUUUGGGUUUAGGUUUUAGAGUUUUAGGUGUUUUUCCACCCAUUUGAAGAAUAGCUUUGAUGGGUGCAUUGUGUAGGUGAAUACAUUACCUUAAUUGAACUCACAUCUCAGCUUUAUAAAUA